AUUGAACGCUGGCGGCAUGCCUUACACAUGCAAGUCGAACGGCAGCACGGGUGCUUGCACCUGGUGGCGAGUGGCGAACGGGUGAGUAAUACAUCGGAACGUACCUUAUCGUGGGGGAUAACGCAGCGAAAGCUGUGCUAAUACCGCAUACGCCCUGAGGGGGAAAGCGGGGGAUCGCAAGACCUCGCGCGAUUAGAGCGGCCGAUGCCUGAUUAGCUUGUUGGUGGGGUAAAAGCCCACCAAGGCGACGAUCAGUAGCUGGUCUGGGAGGACGACCAGCCACACUGAGGCUGAGACACGGCCCAGACUCCUACGGGAGGCAGCAGUGGGGAAUUUUGGACAAUGGGGGCAACCCUGAUCCAGCAAUGCCGCGUGAGUGAAGAAGGCCUUCGGGUUGUAAAGCUCUUUUGUCAGGGAAGAAACACCGGCUCUAACACAGUCCGGGAAUGACGGUACCUGAAGAAUAAGCACCGGCUAACUACGUGCCAGCCGCCGCAGUAA
rnacentral:rRNA from 1 species